ACCACUGCGAAAAAGUAGAACCCUGCCUCCCACUCCCCCUCCCCCACAAACAAGCCUGAAAUGAGGAAAGAAAGGCAAAUAAACCUUAGAAAGUUACUUGUGAAUGUCAAAAUGACGAUCCAGUGGAGAAAGUUUCGAAACUGCUGGCUGCCUUUGGCUUGGGGAGAAAAGAAAAAACUCUCAAGACUCUUUCAGAAGUCAGCUGCCAACAGAUUAAAAGGCGACUAGAAAUGAUCUCAUCGCCAUUUGGAGACGUCUGGUCACAGGGAUAUCUGUAAGAUAACCAGGAAUAAUCCAGCUACGUUAUUCGAUUUUCUUGGAGAAUGCUUUGGUCUUCAUCUUUCUAUUUUUAGUCUUCAGUGUCAGACGCCAUGGGAAGCCAUCGCCACGGGAGUUCAAGGAUUACAUGUUCAUUCAGAACAGAUGAGGAAACCGAGGCCCCGGAGGAGUUGAGGUUGGUGAGAGGAAGAGCCAUGUUUCUGAUCCCAAGCCAGGACUCCUCCUCCCGUUCACCCUCCUCCAUCCUGCGCUUGCUGUGAUUCGGGAAAGGAUGCAUGGACACAUCCGGGUAUACAGGUCACUCCUAUGGUGCUGGUACUCCCCCACCAAAAAUGCCACUGCAGGAGCAGGCAGAGUAUCUGGCAACUUCUGGCUCAGCUCCUCUCUGCCCCAGGAUUGUGAUAUUUUUUCAGCAUCUCAUCUCUAGUCACAAAGAGCAGGCACUGGCAGACACCCUUUCGGUAUACAGAGCGGGUAUGUGGUUCCCUCAGAACCAGAAGGUGUUCUGCUUCAGGAGCACAGGACAGAAACAUUGAAGAAAAUGUUUUUAAGGCUAGAGAACCUGAAUUUUAUCACUUGGAGGAACAGGUCCACGCCUAAGGAAACAAAGGGUAAAUGUUCCAGGAAGAAAUGUCACUUUAACAUGAAGGUAUUACCCUGGAGUCAGGAGAGAGACAGAACCCUACCUACAAUGGCAGUAUGUUGGAGAAAAAGCCCUCUGUCAUCACACCACUUGAUAAAGAAGCCACACAAAGCUUCUUGGCAAUUGUGGAAGUUUUCAACACAUAAAAGGAAAUACAUGGAAUCCAGUCAAGAGAGGAUUCCGGAGAGCAGAACCACUGUUACCUGCAAGUAAGUGGCACUAUACUUAGAAUGUUGUGAGCACUCAGUCAUCACCAUAUAGAUCCAACUCAAAUCCCUUUGUUAUUCCACGUAAUGUAGGGCAUGGCAAGAUCUUGAGUCUUGGACACCACUGGUGGAGGAGAUAGAUGUCACCUGCCACCAGCAUAUCUGUCUGCACUUCAGCCAUUGAAGUUACUGGGUGCUGUCUUUCCCUGCGUAUCAUUUUGCAACCAAGAAUUUACAAAGGGGCAGAGGACCUAGAAGAAAAGGGAUUAGAGCCUGACUCCUUCUGUUUAAGGGCCAAAGAUUGCAACAUAUGCCUGAUGAACUAGCAUAAUCCUAUGGGACGCCCAAGGACAGAAAAGAACAAUAGAGACAUUCAUCAUAAUGAUGGGGAGGGGCUUCUGGAUGAUGGAUCCACACACAACAGCAAGGCCCAAGUAGAAAAACUGCUGAUGCUGGACCAAGUGUGCAGCUGAUGCUGGCACCCCAUUGCUCCAGCCACUCUGUCACAGCGAAUGUGCUAAAAGGCAAAUGGCUACCUACGGUAAUGGAAAGAGAUGUGACACCAAAAGCUGUGUGGCUUGGGACCCAGGGAGUUUUGUUGUGGGAUGUUCUUGGCUGAACAUGAGUAUGAGGGACCACCAGGAAUAGAAAGUCCACUCGGUUCCUUUGGCCACCUGCAGGGAAGCAGAGAUGCUGGUGACCAGAGAGACCUGGAGGAGCUGGGGCCAGCCUUCUAGGGUCAGAAGUGGUCACGUCCAGCUCAGAGGCUCCAUCUUCCUAGGAACCCUGUGGGCCUACCUGUCCUGCAAAUGUUGUCACUUAAGUACCAGUACAACUGGGAGUGAAAUAGAAGCAGGUGUUCUCUCAUCACCUGUAUCUGGGCUGCCUUCAGAUUGAAAGAAAGAGAUCAAGAAAGAGCAAAUUGGGCAGAUCAGUCCCAUUGUGUUGAGAGUUAGUGUCGGAGGACAAGAGAUCCAGGCCCAUUGCAAAAACAAUGACAUUAGAAAAUUUGGAGCAUAUCCUGCCCCAAUGACAGAGGCCUGGGGGUGUCUCUGUCCAGCUGACUCCUGCAGCACAUUAAUGCCACCACGAGAGGAAAGGCCACAAGCAGACCCAAACAGAGGAGGAGCAGUCAUUUCUGUGCUUGGCAUCAGUACUGACUUCCCGCGCAAUCUUGUCCACGUGAAAAUUCACAUAUAUCAAUUAAUUUUCAACAGUGCAUACUUGGAGUUUAUUACUUUAUUCUUGACUUACUCACAAGUACAGUCUGUGCUUAGCUGGCCACGUAGGAAAUAACAAAAGGAAUGUAUGUACUUUCCAGUUUGGAAAGGAAUGUGUACUUCAUGCACAUUCGUCUUAUUUAUCAUGUUUGCUCAGUUUUAAGCUUUUUGCUCAGGAAGUAUAAGAUCGGUUUAAAUAAAGUAAAAAGGAAAUUGGAUUCCAUCAAUCAAUACACUAAAACACAACCACAAUUAGAUGUCAGAAGGUUAUACCAUUUCAUCACUUGUAAUUAAUGUUAUCUGUGUGGGCCACUUCUCAGAAAAUAUUUAUAUAACGUUUCAUUUCCUACAAAGAAAUCCAUCUUCUGGCUUCCCCACAAAUUGAAAAAUUACAUAGUGAAUUAGGAAAAUAGAGAAAACUAUUGUAGCCUCAUUGACUAAUUUUGAAGUGAAAUUUAUUGUAAAAAAAAAAUAUUCUUCCAUCUAAAUCCUCAGACAAUGAAAUGGUUUUGAAGCUUUCUACUUAAAGAAAAAGUCUGACUUUACAGUAACUAUGGUUGUAGGCCAUGCAGUCACUCUUUUGCUCAAAUCAAAAUUCAGUACUAAUAUUUAAAUCAGGAAUAAUUAAGAGGAAAUGUCUGAAGCGCGCUUUUUUUGUUUUUCACCAGAAAUGCUCAUUUCUCAGAUCAGAAAAGAUAGUUUUAUGUUUCCUUCUUAUACGUGUUAAAUAGGGUCUUUUGACUCACUCGAGAAGUUACAAUACUUAGCAAUGAGAGAGAUAGGAAUUGUGCAGGAAAUGAGGACUCCAGGAGGCUAGAAAACAGCUCAAGAUCUGAAAGAUUCUGGUGCCACCCUGGGAGUGCGUGUGGUAGGCAGAAUUAUAAGAUGGCCCUGAAGAUUCCCACCCGCUGGUGUACACACCCUGUAUAACUCCCUCCCCUUGAAUGUGGAGAGGACCAUGGGUGUGGUGGGACAGUAGCUCCUUGGUUACCUUGUUAUAUGAGAGUCCAAAGUGGAAGACUGGAAUGAGAUCCCUCUGUUGGCCUUGAAGAAGCAAACUGCCAUGUUGUAGAGGGCGCCAUGCCGCAGGGAAUGACAGGCAGCCUCUAGAAGCUGAGGGCCUCAGUCCUGCAACCACAAGGAACUGAAUUCUGCCAACAACCAAUGAGCUCGGAAGAAGACCCUGAGCUUCACCUGACCACAGCCCUGCCAGACACUUGGAUUUCAGAUUGUGAGACCCUGAGUAGAGGACCCAGCUAAGCCAUGCCUGGACUCCUGACCCACAGAAAUUGUGAGAGAAUAAAUUUGUCUUAAGCCACUAAGUUUGUGGUCAUUUGUUAUGCAGUAACAGAAAACUAAUACACUGGGUUAUCUUCUUUCCCCUCUGGGAUAAAAAUGUGACAAUUCCUAGUAUUCUGGUGACAAACAGCCCACAUCCUUGCUUCUCUGCAUUUUGGUUCCUCAUAUUCAUGGUUCCCUCACGGUUUCUUCAGGACUCUCCUGCCUCAUGUGCGUGUGUCUUUUCUAUUUAUGCUCCCACUAGUAAGCGAAAGUUGCUCUCUGUCUCAUAGAAGCUGGGCAGACAAAACAAUAGAUGUCCUUAAAAGCCCCUUACCCUACUGAAGCACCUUCAUAAUGUCCGCUAAUCCUCAUAACUACCCUUUGAGGCAAGUACCACUAUUAUUCUCACUUUGUAAUAAAUCUAGGAGUUAGGAGACUUGAGUGGAGAAGCCAGCCUCAAACCCAAGACAUCCUGCAUUGUGUCCCUUGCUCUCCGCUCCUCUUCUGCACUGCUGCUAAUGUGAAAUAACAGGAGCUUCUCGUGAAUGCCAUAGAGAUAGUGAAAACUCUACCCUGGAGAGUACUGAUAACAUACAUUCUAUUCUUUCCUUUUGAGACAAACUAAGGAGCCAUCAUCACUAUGGAGCCAUCAUCAGCUUCUCUCAUUAUGUUGCUCUGAUUUCCCCAAUAGAAUCUGAGUCAGGAACACGUAGGUAUAAACAUUUGCUGAUGCUAUGAAAUUGGGCAAAUUAGUUACCUCUAUGAGCUUCAGUUUUCUUAGCUGCAAAAUGGAGCUGUAGCAGGACUUAUGUCACAGGACAACCAUAUAGAAGCUCAGUAAAUGGUAGUUGGUGGUGGUGGCGGUGGUGGAGACAGUUACUUGUGAAGGAGAAUUCCAUGCCUUACACCUCUAUAGCUUAACAACAAUUAAGCAACUUAUGAGUAAGACUUAGGUGAAUAUGUUACUUAGUUAACUCAUAGGCUAAUGUGAAUGGCUAUCCAUACUAGUGGAGGAAUUCCCAUGAAAGAAAGAAUUCGCUCAUUUUUCUUACAAGAAAUAAUUUCUCAAGAAUUUAAGAGUAUUCAGAAGUCCUUGUUAGGAGUAUCCUAGGAAUGGAUUUGUUCAAGGCAUAUGACAAUCCUACUUUUGGAACUCUCUGAAUGGGCCAGAUCAUCACCAGCAGAAAAUUACCAGAAGGUUCAACAUCAUAUGCAAACAUCAUAGAAUCAACCUGUAGAAUAAAGGUUAAGGUAAGAGCAUGGACCUCAGAGUUGCAUCUUCCUGGACUCAAAUCUUUCCUUUGCCGUUUAUUCUCUGGGCUUCCCUGAGUAAGUACUUAUUUCUUUGUGUCAUGGUUUCCUCAUAAAGAAAAUGACAAUAUUACUAGUAUUUUCCUCAUCAUGUUAUGGAGAGUAUUAAAUGAGUUAAUAUACACCUAUAGCGCUUAGAAUCCCUGAAAUGUGGCAAGCCCUCAGUGAGCUUUAAAGGUUGUAAAUUCAACCAAAGUUUAUUAAGUUUCUACUAUAUACCAGCUACUGUGGUGAGCAUUGAGAAUAUACAUGGCGAGAAAGAAGAAAAAAAUUAAUGUUUAUUGAAUUUUUUGAAUGAAUGACUCUGACAGCUGUUUUACAUACAUUAUCAUAAUUAGUUUUUAAUUAGUAACCUUAAUGGGUUGAUAUUAUUUGCCCUAUUUUAUAAAUGAAGAAAGUGGUAAAAGAGAGACUAACCAUGUUUCUUAAGGUCACAGAGCUAAUAAGUGGUAAAGCAGAGACUCGAAGCCAAGACCAGGCUCAAUGCUGCUUUUGCUAUAAAUAAGACACAAUCCCCGCCCUUGAAGAAUGAACAAUCUAUAGUGAAGAUCUGGAUAUAAAUGACUAAAUACACAAAGACAUAAGUGCUAAAGCGAGCUAUAUGCAAAGUGGAGGUAUUUACCUACAGGAAUGAGGAAUUCCUUGGGGUGGCAGAGAAGUGACAUUUGAAGGCUGAAUACGAUUUCUCCAGGAGAACAAGGGCAUUGGAGGGAAGAAGAGGAAGGGAGUAAAACAUUCACAGAUUCAGAGGCACAAAAAAUGCCUGAGGUUUUGGAGGACCAGCAAAGGAAAUGACCAAGAGUGCUGUCUCUGCGAAUGGGGACUUGAGUGGGAGUCCAAUAGUCCUUUCCCACACAGUGUGUGACUUCUCGCAGUGAAGCCAAGGGCUUGCCUCUGCUUACAGCGUCAGCAGUUUCUAAUUGUAAGAGCCAAGCUGCUCUAAGCACUGCUUUUUCCGGCAGCCCAAACCUAGGUCUACCACACACUUGAGUUCUGCUGCAUCUUUAAGGUAUUUCUGCUGUCCUCCUUGUUUGCGGCACCACUGCAGUUUAUGUUACAGC